GCCUCUGAUGAUGAUGAAAAAAAUAAAACUUUCGUUCUUCUGAAAAGACCCAUGUGGAAAAUCUAUGGAGACCUGAACUGAAGGGCC